AACGAACGCUGGCGGCAUGCCUAACACAUGCAAGUCGAACGAGACCUUCGGGUCUAGUGGCGCACGGGUGCGUAACGCGUGGGAACCUGCCCUUAGGUUCGGAAUCACUCCCCGAAAGGGGUGCUAAUACCGGAUAAUGUCUUCGGACCAAAGUUUUAUCGCCUUUGGAUGGGCCCGCUUUGGAUUAGCUAGUUGGUAGGGUAAAAGCCUACCAAGGCGACGAUCCAUAGCUGGUCUGAGAGGAUGAUCAGCCACACUGGGACUGAGACACGGCCCAGACUCCUACGGGAAGCAGCAGUGGGGAAUAUUGGAAAAUGGGCGAAAGCCUGAUCCAGCAAUGCCGCGUGAGUGAUGAAGGCCUUAGGGUUGUAAAGCUCUUUUACCCGGGAUGAUAAUGACAGUACCGGGAGAAUAAGCUCCGGCUAACUCCGUG
rnacentral:rRNA from 1 species